GUUAACGGGAGGUAUUUUAGAGAAGGAAGUGCUGCUAGGUUUUAGAAGACACUCCCUGUGAUGUGUUAGUGCGAGGUCGAGACGUCAUGAGGAUACGAGGAUACAACCCCCAUAUGGGUGAUUCCACAACCCCCAUAUGGGUGAUUCCACAACCCCCAUAUGGGAGAUUCCACAACCCCCAUAUGGGUGACUCCACAACCCCCAUAUGGGUGACUCCGGGAAUCGAACCCACAACCCCCAUAUGGGUGACUCCACAACACCCAUAUGGGUGCCUCCGGGAAUUGAACCCACAACCCUUGGCCAUGCGCCAUGCUCACGACCUUCUUUUGAGCUGUUGUUUUUUAAACCACAGGAGACGUCACACAGUUUGUGUACACAGCAUGUCAGAGUGGUGUGGAGCAAGGCUCUUCUAUUUUAAUUGUUAUCUAUCAGUGGUAGCAUUCAUUCAUUAUGUCAUGUAAUGUCAUCAAUCAAGAACAACAGGUCAAUGUUUAAAUGAUCUAGUUGUUUGUUUGUUGUUGUUGUUGUUGCUGUUAUUGUUGUUUCUAAAAGGUUUGCAGGAGCAGGAGGCUAGGCUACUGAGGGGAGUGAAGUUUCAGGUCAUGGUUGAGACACCCAGGGUUCAGAGGAGUCCCAUCCCAGAGACAGAGCCUCUUUGGCGGGUAGAGAGUACAAGACACCUCCCUGGAGAUCCACCUCACGGACAGGCUGCACAUCAGGAGGUUGGGAGGCCUGUGUUUACAUACACUGACGACAGUGUGAAAGACUGUGAGGAGGUUGGAGAAGAGAGACCCUGGCCUCUACAGGGAGGAGAGAGACCCUGGCCUCUACAGAGAGGAGAGAGACCCUGGCCUCUACAGGGAGGAGAGAGACCCUGCCAUCUACAGAGAGGAGAGAGACCCUGGCCUCUACAGGGAGGAGAGAGACCCUGCCCUCUGAAGACGGCCUCAGUAGAUUCCUCCUGGAGAAGCAGCCAGCUAUCACACGUCAACUACUAUGGUGGUUACCUGGGUGGGGCCCAGCAGGGACGGACACUGAAACAAGGCAGCACAGACACAAAAAAGGACAACACAUACUCGGACCCCAGCUUCUCCAGAUUGGACAACACAUCCUCGAACCCCAGCUUCUCCAGAUUGCAUCUCCCUCCCCUUUUUUCUGGCUCAGUGGUCAGUCUGGACCAGGACAGUAGUACGAGGAAACCAAGGAGUCCAGGUGGGCUGGGGGGGAAGUUUCUGCCACUCAUACAUGAGGAGUAUGUCAGCUCUGAGGAGCCAGCCCAGACCCAGCCAGAGGCUGGAACCCAUCCAGAGAGGUUGACCCAGACCUAUCCUGUCCACACCAUCCUAGAGCCACAAGCCCAUCCAGAGAGGGCCCACCUGGAGAAGCCAGGGCCCAGGAGGCUGCUGCUGUCAGUGCUACUACCACUUGGACAUACAGAAGAGGAGGGGGUGCAGGCUCCGUGUGCUGGUGUCCACUACAAGCCAUCAGAGGAGGAGAAAGGGGAGCCUCACUGUGGAGAGACGGGACACAAAAGAGAGAGCACUAGAAGAGGGGAAGGAGAAGGACGAGGAGGAGGAGGAGGAAGGGGNNNNNNNNNNCACAGAAACAGACUGGCAUCCAGGCUAGGGAAUGUUAGUCAACCAGAAACAGACUGGUAUCCAGGCUAGGGAAUGUUAGUCAACCAGAAACAGACUGGCAACCAGGCUAGGGAAUGUUAGUCAACCAGAAACAGACUGGCAUCCAGGCUAGCGAAUGUUAGUCAACCAGAAACAGACUGGCAUCCAGGCUAGGGAAUGUUAGUCAACCAGAAACAGACUGGCAACCAGGCUAGGGAAUGUUAGUCAACCAGAAACAGACUGGCAUCCAGGCUAGGGAAUGUUAGUCAACCAGAAACAGACUG
rnacentral:lncRNA from 13 species